rnacentral:rRNA from 1 species
UACGUAGGAUGCAAGCGUUGUCCGGAAUUAUUGGGCGUAAAGAGCGAGCAGGCGGUUUGGAAAGUUGGACGUGAAAUUUUAGGGCUUAACCCUAAAGGGUCGUCCAAAACUCCCAGACUAGAGGUAGGCAGGGGAGAGCGGAACUCCUGGUGUAGCGGUGGAAUGCGCAGAUAUCAGGAAGAACACCGGUGGCGAAGGCGGCUCUCUGGGCCUUACCUGACGCUGAGGAGCGAAAGCGUGGGUAGCGAACAGG